ACCUAAUAGAUACCCCCGGUAGUCCACGCCCUAAACGAUGCGAACUGGAUGUUGGGUACAUUACGGUACUCAGUGUCGAAAGCUAAACGCGUUAAGUUCGCCGCCUGGGGAGUACGGUCGCAAGACUGGAACUCAAAGGAAUUGACGGGGGUCCCGCACAAGCGGUGGAGUAUGUGGUUUAAUUCGAUGCAACGCGAAGAACCUUACCUGGCCUUGACAUCUGUCGAAUCCUGCAGAGAUGCGGGUAGUGCCGCAAGGAACGACAAGACAGGUGCUGCAUGGCUGUCGUCAGCUCGUGUCGUGAGAUGUUGGGUUAA
rnacentral:rRNA from 1 species